AGUUGAUACUGGCGUUCUUGAGUGCGUACGAGGUAUGUGGAAUUCGUGGUGUAGCGGUGAAAUGCUUAGAUAUCACGAAGAACUCCGAUUGCGAAGGCAGCGUACCAGUCCGUAACUGACGUUGAUGCUCGAAAGUGUGGGUAUCAAACAGGAUUAGAUACCCUGGUAGUCCACACGGUAAACGAUGGAUACUCGCUGUUGGCGAUAUAUUGUCAGCGGCCAAGUGAAAACGUUAAGUAUCCCACCUGGGGAGUACGCCGGCAACGGUGAAACUCAAAGGAAUUGACGGGGGCCCGCACAAGCGGAGGAACAUGUGGUUUAAUUCGAUGAUACGCGAGGAACCUUACCCGGGCUUAAAUUGCACUGGACAGACUCAGAGAUGGGUUUUUCUUCGGACCAGUGUGAAGGUGCUGCAUGGUUGUCGUCAGCUCGUGCCGUGAGGUGUCGGCUUAAGUGCCAUAACGAGCGCAACCCUUGCUUCCAGUUACCAUCAGGUAAUGCUGGGGACUCUGGAAGGACUGCCAUCGUAAGAUGUGAGGAAGGUGGGGAUGACGUCAAAUCAGCACGGCCCUUACGUCCGGGGCUACACACGCGUUACAAUGGGGGGUACAGCAGGUCGCUACCUGGUGACAGGACGCUAAUCCGUAAAACCCCUCUCAGUUCGGACUGGAGUCUGCAACCCGACUCCACGAAGCUGGAUUCGCUAGUAAUCGCGCAUCAGCCACGGCGCGAUGAAUACGUUCCCGGGUCCUUGUACACAC
rnacentral:rRNA from 1 species